rnacentral:lncRNA from 1 species
ACUUAAGUCACCGUGUCCAAUUGAUGCAGGGUCACAUGAUUAUUUUGUUUUAUUUAAAAUGUCACACUUUUUUAAUUCUGAUUAUAUGGAAUUGGGUCUUGGGCCAUGCGUUUCUCUUUUCCCACCCCCAGUUUUGGGCCCAUUGCGCAUUUAAACUAUUGUCCAGUUAUUUCCUAUUUUACUCAUGCACCCUAUUUAUUCUUUUGACUUCAUUUUAUUUCUUUUGUUUUAUUUUCCAAAAAUUCAUGAAUAUAUUUUAGGAUGUUAUUUAAUUUCUAUAUUUUUUAUUUUACUUUUCAAUUU